GUCCACGCCCUAAACGAUGUCAACUGGUUGUUGGGAAUUCACUUUCUCAGUAACGAAGCUAACGCGUGAAGUUGACCGCCUGGGAGUACGGCCGCAAGGUUGAAACUCAAAGGAAUUGACGGGACCCGCACAAGCGGUGGAUGAUGUGGUUUAAUUCGAUGCAACGCGAAAACCUUACCCACCUUUGACAUGUACGAAUCCUUUAGAGAUAGAGGAGUGCUCGAAAGAGAGCCGUAACACAGGUGCUGCAUGGCUGUCGU
rnacentral:rRNA from 1 species